rnacentral:rRNA from 1 species
UACGGGAGGCAGCAGUGGGGAAGUAAUUGUCACAAUAGGGCGGCAAGACCUCGAUGCAGCCACUGCCGCCGUGUAUGAAGAAAGGCCUUCGGGUUGUAAAGUACUUUCAGUCGUGAGGAAGGUGUUAAGGUUAAUAACCUUAGCAAUUGACGUUAGCGACAGAAGAAGCACCGGCUAACUCCGUGCCAGCAGCCGCGGUAAUACGGAGGGUGCGAGCGUUAAUCGGAAUUACUGGGCGUAAAGGGCACGCAGGCGGUUAAUUAAGUUGGAUGUGAAAUCCCCGGGCUUAACCUGGGAAUGGCAUUCAAGCUGGUUAGCUAGAGUCUUGUAGAGGGGGUAGAAUUCCAUGUGUAGCGGUGAAAUGCGUAGAGAUGUGGAGGAAUACCGGUGGCGAAGGCGGCCCCUGGACAAAGACUGACGCUCAUGUGCGAAAGCGUGGGGAGCAAAC